rnacentral:rRNA from 1 species
CAAUAGCGUAUAUUAAAGUUGUUGCAGUUAAAAAGCUCGUAGUUGGAUUUCUGGUGGGAGCGAUCGGUCUGGCGCUUAGCGCGAGUACUUGCAUCGUCUCCGGCCAUCCUUGGGGAGAGUCUGUCUGGCAUUAGGUUGUCGGGCAGAGGAUCCUCAUCGUUUACUGUGAAAAAAUUAGAGUGUUCAAAGCAGGCUUAUGCCGUUGAAUAUAUUAGCAUGGAAUAAUAAGAUAGGACUUUGGUACUAUUUUGUUGGUUUGCGCACCAAAGUAAUGAUUAAUUGGGACAGUUGGGGGUAUUCGUAUUCCGUUGUCAGAGGUGAAAUUCUUGGAUUUACGGAAGACGAACUACUGCGAAAGCAUUUACCAAGGAUGUUUUCAUUAA